rnacentral:lncRNA from 1 species
AUGGUGCCUGUCCUGGUCCUAUCAGAGGGAAGACACGCACACUGCAGGCACACACGCACGCCACAAACACCUGACACAUUGUACACAACCCACACCACACCACACUACCACACGCAUCACACAUCUGCAUGCACCACACACCUGACACACGCUAUGCACAGCACACACUACACAUAUACAUACAACACACACAUCACGCACAUUGUACACCACAUGCACCACACACAUCACCUACCACAUGCACCACACAACCGCUUACCCCACACACCUCACAUACACUAUAUACAACACACACCACACAUACCACAUGCACACACCACAUGCCUCACACACAGUAUAUACAACGCACAUCACACGCCACAUGCACAGUAUUCACACCAUACACACAUGCCACACUACACAUACCACAUGCACACCACACACGUGUACACCAUGCACACCACACACACAUCACAUAUACACAUAUACCAUACACAGCUCACAUACACAUACACAACACACACAACUCACUGCACACACACAUCACACAUACACCACACAGACUUCCCAUGCACCACACACACCAACACACACAAAUGCACCAUAUGCAUGCCACAUGCACACAUACCACACACAUCCUCACACACAUACACACACGCCACAGCCCACACCAAUACAAACACAUACACACAUCACAUAUCCCAACACAUAUGCCACACACACCACCCAUCAUACACAUACACCCUGACACACACAAAUACCCCCCACACUCCCACACACAUACAUAUACAUACACACCACAUACCUACCUCCUGCUCUUCUGCCUUUGCCUCCAACUUUCCUUCUUUCAAAUCUCAGCGUGUAUCAGCUCUUCAGCUGCAACACACUUCUCUCAGUCACAGGCUGCCUAUUUUUAGAUUCUGCUUCCUCUGUGAAGCCUACCUGGGUGUUGGCUGUACUUGGAGUUCUGGACAGAAGUUUGGACGAGGCAUCAGGACCUGGGGCUCCCGGUCCUGCCUCUGCUCGCUCUGUGGUGCUGGAUGA